GUCUUUUUGAGAAUAAUUUAAAGUCUAAUCUGCCCACUGAUCAAUAUUAAAGGGCUGCAGUAUAAUGACUGUACAAAGGUAGCAUAAUCAAUAGUUUUUUAAUUGGAAACUUGUAUGAAAGAUUUGAUGAAAUAUAAACUGUCUCUUAUUUAUUAUUAGAAAUUUAUUUUUUAGUUAAAAAGCUAAAAUAAUUUUAAAAGACGAGAAGACCCUAUAGAGUUUUAUAUUUAUUUUUAUUUUAUAGGUAUAUAAAAAUUUAAAAUAAGAUAAAAAUAAAUAUUUUGUUGGGGUGACAGAAAAAUUAAAUUAACUUUUUUUAAAAAUUAAACAUAGAUAAAUGAUUAAAUGAUCCAUUGAUAAUGAUUAUAAGAAAAAAUUACCUUAGG
rnacentral:rRNA from 1 species